rnacentral:lncRNA from 1 species
AGAAAGGCUGCUGUCCAGCUAUCAGUGACCCUAAUGAGAAGCCAACACCAGGGUCAAAGCAGGUGACAGUUCUAUCCCCAGAAAGUGGCUUGCACGACCGCCUUUUCCCCAAGGAGUGGGAUCUAAAGACUCCAUUUCUCCCACCCAGAACUUAGCAUCAACACUGACUUUUUAUCUUUAUAGUUUCCAAAACUUAAUUAAAUAGCAUUCUGACUUU